rnacentral:rRNA from 1 species
AGCGAACGCUGGCGGCAGGCCUAACACAUGCAAGUCGAACGCCCCUUCGGGGGAGUGGCGGACGGGUGAGUAACGCGUGGGAACGUGCCCUUUGGUACGGAACAACUGAGGGAAACUUCAGCUAAUACCGUAUGUGCCCCCAUUCUUAGCGGGAUGGGUGGGAAAGAUUUAUCGCCAUUGGAGCGGCCCGCGUUGGAUUAGCUAGUUGGUGGGGUAAAGGCUCACCAAGGCUACGAUCCAUAGCNGGUCUGAGAGGAUGAUCAGCCACACUGGGACUGAGACACGGCCCAGACUCCUACGGGAGGCAGCAGUGGGGAAGUCUUGCGCAAUGGGCGAAAGCCUGACGCAGCCAUGCCGCGUGUAUGAUGAA